rnacentral:lncRNA from 1 species
AUAACUUCAUACUUUCUGUAUAACAUUACAACAAUAUAAAUUUUCCUAUCCGCAAAUAUUUUUCAGAACAUCACUGAUAUAUAUUCAAUAGCUAGCUCAUCAUUAGAAUGAGCGUAUUUUAGUUAUUCCCCUAUUGUUGGACAUUGACCAUAUUUUACUGCAUAAUCAUCAUCACUAUGUAAUCAUCACCGUCACCUCAGUGUAUAUUCACAAGUAUUCCAUGCAUCUUAAUCUUGUACCAAGGAUAGUUUAGAAAAAUAUUUUUUAAGUAAUACUGCAUAAGCUUCUUUCUUAAAAAAAAAUAGCUUCACAUAAUGAUUAUAUCCCACUUUUUUGCAAAAAUAUUUGGUAUAAAAUCUACAAUGAUUAUGCAGUAAAAUACAGUAAAUUAUUUCCAAUUUUGAACAUAAUAAAGAAUUCACUGAUAAAUAUCAUUAUACAGAACCUUAAACUAUAUCUCUCAUUAUUUUAUUAGUAUAGAUUCCUAGAAGUGGGAACACUAUGUCAAAAGUAGAAAGAUGUGUUGGGCACAGUGGUGCACAUCUGUGAUCCCAGGGACUUGUAGUCUGAGACAGGAGGAUCUCAAGUUUGAGGGCAGCCUCAGCCAUUCAGUGAGACUCUCAAUUACUUAGUGGGGCUGUACUUAAAAUAAAAAAUAAAAAGAACUGGGGUUGUAUCUCAGGGGUAAAGCACCCCUAGGUUAGAUUCCCAGUACAAAAAAAAAAAAAGUAUAAAGAUUUAUUUUCUAUUUUUAUCUUUAAGGGUAUUUUAUUAUAAAAUAAUAGUUGCUCGUUGUUAAAAAAAAAAAAAAGAAAAUUGUUGUAUUUUGCCAUCUCGACUCCUUAGAAAUACUUACCUAAUUGUUGCAAACAUUUGGUUUAUAGUUUAUCAGAUAUCUACUUAAGAUGUCUGAAAAUACAAAUACAAAUAGUUUUUAAACAUAUUUAUGUUUAUUUCAAGGCCUUCAAUGUAUAUUUGCUAAAUUGUUACCCUGAAGAGUUAUAUCAAUUUGUACUCCCAACAUUAAAUAAUAACUCACAUCAAACUACCUUCAUCAGCUCCUUCCUCCUGUUGUACAUUUGACCCUCAAUGUUCUUCCUAACAGGGUUAUGGUUUGGGAAGAGUGUGGAUAAGAGCGGAUUAAAGACGGGAACAGUGCUUUUUAAUUGAGACAAAUCAGGUUGAUAACUCCAGAAGGACUGAACAAGAAAUCUAUUUAAAAAUCAGCAAAUAUGAGAUACAAUUGUAUAGUAUUUAGGUGUAUGAGCUUUAAAGUCAGAAAUUAAUAUUGUCAAUAAAUAAACAAUGAAUGCAAUGGUGCCAAAAACCAUGUAUGCUAACCUCCAUGUUGAC